rnacentral:rRNA from 1 species
UACGUAGGUGGCAAGCGUUAUCCGGAUUUAUUGGGCGUAAAGGGAACGCAGGCGGUCCUUUAAGUCUGAUGUGAAAGCCUUCGGCUUAACCGGAGUAGUGCAUUGGAAACUGGGAGACUUGAGUGCAGAAGAGGAGAGUGGAACUCCAUGUGUAGCGGUGAAAUGCGUAGAUAUCAGGAGGAACACCGGUGGCGAAGGCGGCCUGCUGGACUGCAACUGACGUUGAGGCCCGAAAGCGUGGGGAGCAAACAGG